GAUGAACGCUGGCGGUAUGCUUAACACAUGCAAGUCGGACGGGAAGUGAUGUUUCCAGUGCCGUACGGGGGAGCAACGCGCAAAAAGGUGCGCUAGGGAGGGGAAUAAAAGUUGGAAAGGGGUGCUAAUACCCCGUAGGCUGGGGAGCAAAAGGUGCAACCUGCCGGAGGAUGGGCGCGCGUCUGGUUACCUAGUUGGUCAGGCAAUAGCUUACCAAGGCGGUGAUCAGUAGCGGGUGCGAGAGGAUGACCGGCCAGACUGGUACUGAGGCACGGAGUAGAGACUUACGGGAGACAGGAGUAAGGCAGUUCCAGCAAUGCGGGAUAGCCUAACGGAGCAAUCCGGUGUGAAAGUAGUAGUGUUGCGGAAGGAGAGCUGCUUUUCCCGGAGAAGAAGUAAUGACGGUACCUGAAGAAUAAGCAUCGGCUAACUCUGUG
rnacentral:rRNA from 1 species